rnacentral:rRNA from 1 species
GUAGGUGGAGCAUGUGGUUUAAUUCGAAGAUACACGAAGAACCUACCUGGCCUUGACAUGGUAGGAACCUUAAGAGAUUAGGGGUGCUAGCUUGCUAGAACCUACACACAGGUGCUGCACGGCUGUCGUCAGCUCGUGUCGUGAGAUGUUGGGUUAAGUCCCGCAACGAGCGCAACCCUCGUCCUUAGUUGCUAACAGUUCGGCUGAGCACUCUAGGGAGACUGCCUUCGCAAGGAGGAGGAAGGUGAGGACGACGUCAAGUCAUCAUGGCCCUUACGGCCAGGGCUACACACGUGCUACAAUGGGGCGUACAGAGAGCUGCGAUACCGCGAGGUGGAGCCAAUCUCUUAAAGCGUCUCUCAGUUCGGAUUGUUCUCUGCAACUCGAGAACAUGAAGCUGGAAUCACUAGUAAUCGCAGAUCAGCUAUGCUGCGGUGAAUACGUUCCCGGGUCUU